rnacentral:rRNA from 1 species
AACGAACGCUGGCGGCGUGGAUUAGGCAUGCAAGUCGAACGCGAAAGAGGGAGCAAUCCCUCAAGUAGAGUGGCGAACGGGUGAGUAACGCGUGAAGAACCUGCCUUCAACAGGGGGAUAACACUCCCAACGGGGUGCUAAUACCGCAUGAGACCACGGGUCCGCAUGGUCCUGAGGUCAAAGGUGGCCUCUACUUGUAAGCUACCGGUUGAAGAUGACUUCGCGUCCCAUUAGCAGUUGGCGGUGUAAUGGACCACCAAGGCGACGAUGGGUAGCUGGUCUGAGAGGGCGACCGGCCACACUGGGACUGAGACACGGCCCAGACUCCUACGGGAGGCAGCAGUGGGAAUCUUGCGCAAUGGGCGAAAGCCUGACGCAGCGACGCCGCGUGAGGGAUGACGGCCUGG